AUCAUUUGAGUUAGUCCUUGUAAUGUGCUUAGUGUCAUGACUAGCACCAAAAGGUAUUAUAUAAAUGUUAGCUCUUUGGGUAGGUAGGUUGCACAGUGCAUAGAACUUUGGUUCUAGAGUCAGAAAUAUCUGAAAUAAUAACAGAAAUAACUGAAAUAACCUCAGACGAUUUUUCCAGUUUCAGUUUUAAGUGUAAAUUGAAGAAGAUAACAACACUGAUCUCACAGGUUUUCUAUCUCUAUAUUUGUUAUUAUGAAGGUUACUAGAUAUAAUGCUAUAGAACACAUAGGACAUGUUUCCAUUUGCAAAGAGGAGAAAUGAGAAUUUUUCUACGUAAUUUAGGCUACCCCAGUAUAUGCUUUCUUGCAUUCGACUAAUAAUACCUCUUACUCACCUGCCAUGCUAAGAUGAUAUGAAGAUUAAUGAACUGUUAUUUGCAAAAUGCUUUGAGAUCAUCCAAUGAAAGAUGCAGCAAAUGCACGAAUGGUAUUUAAUCAUGUCAUUUUUUUGUAAUAAGGAUAAUGAGAAUGGCAAUUACAGGAAAAUACAGAAUAUAAUUGAUAUAUUUCAUAAGACACCAAGAAGCUUUCAGUUGCCAUCAUUUCUAUUUCCUGUUAUUGGGAAGUAGGUGAAUUUUUGAAAUUUGCUUUAUAAAUUUUAUGAGCUGCUUUUAAUUAUUUAAAAAAAAAAAUUGGGAGAUUGACCUGUAACAAGCAUGGGGAGGAUGGGGCUUUGCCCUAGGGUAAUAGAGUACUCUUCUUACCUGAAAAGGUAUAGUUUUUCCAUGAAGCAACCACUGUCUCUGUCUAGUGCCUUAUCACUACUACUGUGUUGUGCUACAACCAUUACUACAUGGAUCCCAUGAAUCUUCUUUCUUGCCUCCCUCCCUCCAAAUCAUCAUGGCUGUGAUGGCUAGAUGGCCCCCUCUUCCAGCACAGUGGAAGCUUUGGAUAUUCUUUCCACUGGGCUACCCCCUUGACUAUUUUUGUUCUAGGUAAAGAAUAUUCUAAAUCCUGUUCUAUUUGGCACUUAAUAAAUAUGUAUUGACUGACUUAUUGCAGAGAUAUUCUGGUGCAAUGUAAAUAUUCCCCAAAGAUCUUCAGGGCUUACAAUUAUGCUCCAAGGGUCAACUUCUAUGAGAUAUGCAGGCAAAUUAAAAGGAACCUACAUUUGCAAAUUUAUAAAUGGAUGCAUAUAUCAUGAGCAAAACUCAGGAAUUAUGUAAAACUUACCUUACAUGUGCAUAUGGAGUCUCCUCAUGAGAAAAAUACUGCGGUGUGAACAAAACCACUAGUAUUGUAGAAGGAACUCUUUAAGCCCUGAGCUUCAUCCCUGACCCUAUCGCUUACUUGCUUUGUUACCCUGAGCAAGUCACUUAAUUUCUCUUGGUCUCAUUCUCUAAAAUACUAGGAUUGGACUGGAAGACCUCUACAAUUCUCUUGGUACUAAACCACUAUGAUUCUCGAUUGAUUUCAGAGGCAACCAACAAAAGGAAAAAAGCCCCCCUUUUUGUGAGAGCAAGCCAAGUUUCACUGGAUAGGAAUGGGUGUGGGGGAGAAUUCAAUCUGCCAGUGGUAUAUGUUUAACAACUUUAUCCAUUCCACUUUAUAGCUCGCCAUUGGGCAUAGACGUUUUAUGACUUGUAACAGUUUAAUGUGUCCUGCUGAGUUCCCUCCUCCUUCAGGUUCCCUUUCUCUUUGCUGAAGCAUUUUCUGUACUGUGAGUGAUGGAUAUUUUUGGUUGGUCAGAUAAAAAUACGAUCCACACCAGGGUAGCAGCAAUGUGUCUGAUGUGCAAAACCAUGGGGGGAAAUCAUCCCUUCUCCAUCUUUCUUCCCUUCUCUAUCCUUGCAGGGCGCUGACGAAUGAAAAACAAUUAUGCACCUUGCACCAUGGAGACAGCAAGUACAGAAAAUAAACAGUGAAUGAUGAAGGGAAGUGGUUUUAUUACAGGGUAAAAACAGAGAAUUAUCAAUAACAGCAAUAAUGGAGAAAAAUGGUAAUGAAUAAUUAAAUAUAAUAAAGUCAUGAUAACAAUAAAGUGCAAUGAAUAAUGCAAUUCUAUUUGUAAUAAUAUGACUCGGUUCAUCUUGAUGAAGUGGCCUCUCUUUAGGCUAUUUCCAACAGGCAGAGGUGUAAACACCAAUCUGGCUCUAUAUUAGUCUCGACUCAAAACAUUUCUGAGGGAUCUGUGGCAGGCCUGCUUCCUUUUUCCUCAGAAUUCUUCCCUAACUUCAUGCUCUCUGGAGUGGGCAGGGUGUAUACAAUAUGUUUUUUUUUCCUUUUUGUUUCCCUAGCUUGUCUCUAACCCUGGAAUAGUGCUGCCAAUACAACUGAACCCUCAGGAAUGUUUUUGUUGCAAAAAAUGCCAAGUAGUCAGGUGAUCUAAUGCUGGCAAUCCCCAGGGUAUUCAAGUACCUUCUUUCCCUUCAACCCCCCCCUUUUGCAGAAAUUUACUGGAGCAAUAAAUCUAGUGCAAUCAUGGAGAAAAAUUUAGGCAGGGGAACUCUAGAAAGAGAGGUGGGGGAAUUGCAACAGUAAGCAAAACACCAACAGAAUCCCAGGAACAGAGCAGAAAUAUUUCCUUUGCUUGACUUGUGUCUGGUUGCCUUCUAUGUUGCCUUGUUUAUUUUUGUUUGUUUGUUUUUAGCAGCUCGUCCAUGCACUCUAAGAGACUUGAGUCAUAUAACUGGUGAAGUCAGUACCAAGGAGUUACAGUGUGGUUAGAAGGUCCAUAUUAACAAACAAAAUGUGUUGGAAACUUCCCUCAAUAUGUUAUCUGAUUCUCAGAGAGACACAAAGGUGGCACAGCCAAUGAUAUCUUCUCUCAAAGAUGCUGCCAUCAGCUACUCCCAAGACAGUGGAAUUCCUGAGCUGCUAUUAAGCUCCAACUGUCAGUAAAACUUCUGAUGGGACAUCUGGAUCUCUUGAAUCCAUAAGGUUGCCCAGGCACUCUCAUCUCAGAAUACUAAUAUUCCCAAGAUCAGAAAAGGUGGUCUGUAAUAUAUAUACUCCAAGGACGAAGUUGUUUCUCUUUCUCCCUCCAAUCAUGUUCAUUCAGAUUCAUGGACCAUCAAUGUCAAAGACCUGAUCUUAAAGUGCAUAUAGCCCACAACACUCCCAAGUGUGGCUUGAACCAAUUUAAAAUGUAUCAGCAAAAUAUUUAACAAAAUAAAUAAAA